rnacentral:rRNA from 1 species
UACGGAGGGUGCAAGCGUUAUCCGGAUUUACUGGGUUUAAAGGGUGUGUAGGCGGACUUUUAAGUCAGCGGUGAAAUCUCCGGGCUCAACCCGGAAACUGCCAUUGAUACUAUAGGUCUUGAAUGUUGUGGAGGUGGGCGGAACGGGUCAUGUAGCGGUGAAAUGCUUAGAGAUGACCCGGAACACCGAUUGCGAAGGCAGCCCACUACGCAACUAUUGACGCUGAGGCACGAAAGCGUGGGGAUCAAACAGG